rnacentral:rRNA from 1 species
CCCGCUGAACUUAAGCAUAUCAAUAAGCGGAGGAAAAGAAACUAACAAGGAUUCCCUUAGUAACUGCGAGUGAAGAGGGAAAAGCUCAAAUUUAAAAUCUGGCAGUGUUUCACUGUCCGAGUUGUAACCUAGAGAAGUGUAACCUGCGCUGGACCGUGUAUAAGUCUCCUGGAAUGGAGCAUCACAGAGGGUGAGAAUCCCGUCUUUGACAUGGACCACCAGUGCAUUGUGGUUGUGCUCUCAACGAGUCGAGUUGUUUGGGAAUGCAGCUCUAAACGGGUGGUAAAUUCCAUCUAAAGCUAAAUAUUGGCGAGAGACCGAUAGCGAACAAGUACCGUGAGGGAAAGAUGAAAAGAACUUUGGAAAGAGAGUUAAACAGUAUGUGAAAUUGUUGAAAGGGAAACGUUUGAAGUCAGUCGCGUUGGUUGGGGAUCAGCCUGACAUUGUUGGGUUUACUUCCUGGUCGACGGGCCAACAUCAGUUUUGACUGCCAGAAAAAGGCCAAAGGAAUGUGGCACCUUUGGGUGUGUUAUAACCAUGGUCGUAUAUGGUGGUUGGGACUGAGGAAAGCAGCGUGCCGAAAGGCCGGGUUUCGACCACGUUCACGCUGAGGAUGUUGGCAUAAUGGCUUUAAGCGACCCGUCUUGAAACACGG